AACGAACGCUGGCGGCAUGCCUAACACAUGCAAGUCGAACGAAGGCUUCGGCCUUAGUGGCGCACGGGUGCGUAACGCGUGGGAAUCUGCCCUUUGGUUCGGAAUAACAGCUGGAAACGGCUGCUAAUACCGGAUGAUGACGAAAGUCCAAAGAUUUAUCGCCAGAGGAUGAGCCCGCGUUGGAUUAGGUAGUUGGUGGGGUAAAGGCCUACCAAGCCGACGAUCCAUAGCUGGUCUGAGAGGAUGAUCAGCCACACUGGGACUGAGACACGGCCCAGACUCCUACGGGAGGGAGCAGAGGGGAAUAUUGGACAAUGGGCGCAAGCCUGAUCCAGCAAUGCCGCGUGAGUGAUGAAGGCCCUAGGGUUGUAAAGCUCUUUUACCCGGGAAGAUAAUGACUGUACCGGGAGAAUAAGCCCCGGCUAACUCCGUG
rnacentral:rRNA from 1 species